rnacentral:rRNA from 1 species
UGCGUAGGUGGUCUACUAAGUUGGAUGUGAAACCCCCGGGCUUAACUUGGGAACUGCAUCCAAUACUGGCGGACUAGAGUGCAGGAGAGGGAAGCGGAAUUCCUAGUGUAGCGGUGAAAUGCGUAGAUAUUAGGAGGAACACCAGUGGCGAAGGCGGCUUUCUGGACUGUAACUGACACUGAGGCACGAAAGCGUGGGGAGCAAACAG